rnacentral:lncRNA from 1 species
UAAAGCUUGUGGUAAACAUAACUUGACGAUACUUUGAUGUUUUAUUCUACAACAUAAACUGCACACACUCACACCCCGAACUGUCUUAUCAUAAAAACUGCCUUAUCUUAAAACCCCAUAGGAAAAUCUCGGCAGUGAAUUAGUCUCUAGUCUCAAACCACAUUUGUUUCAUUUAUCUUAUUUCUCUCAGUAUAAACCCACAGCAGGAUGCAGGUCAUAUUGAACCCCAGGUCAAUGUUCUAGCGGAUGGUUUAGCGGUGUCCCUCCUCUAUGAGCCCCUGCCGGACCCCAGCGAGCCCCAUAUACGAGGCCUCCUCACCAGACUAGAGGCAGUGUCUCGGACUCUCCAUAGGAAGGGCUAUGAGGAAGAGAAGGAGGAAAAGGAGAAAUGUGCACUUGAAAACAGAGUUAUCUAUAUACGCUCUUACCUGCAGGACAGGGUGAGCGGUCUGCGCUCUCUGCUGCAGGUUCAGCGUGAGUGUGACGCGAGUGUGUGUGCGGUUCAGAGCGGGUUACAGAAGCGCUGGGCUCUGCUGGAGGAGU